UAGUCCACACCGUAAACGAUGAAUGCCAGUCGUCGGGCAGUAUACUGUUCGGUGACACACCUAACGGAUUAAGCAUUCCGCCUGGGGAGUACGGUCGCAAGAUUAAAACUCAAAGGAAUUGACGGGGGCCCGUACAAGCGGUGGAGCAUGUGGUUUAAUUCGAUGCAACGCGAAGAACCUUACCAGGGUUAGACAUGUUUGUGAUUUUCUUCGAAAAAGACAUCUCUUUUAGAGCACAUACAACGGUGGUGCAUGGCUGUCGUCAGCUCGUGUCGUGAGAUGUUGGGUUAAGUCCCGCAACGGAGCGCAACCCUUGUCUUUAGUUGCCAUCAUUAAGUUGGGCACUUUUAAAGAGACUGCCGGUGACAAACCGGNGGAAGGUAAGGAUGACGUCAAGUCAGCAUGCCCCUUAUGCUCUGGGCUACACACGUGCUGCAAUGGCCGUGACAAAGAGUUGCUACUUUGUGAAAACAAGCUAAUCUCAUAAACGCGGCCUCAGUUCGGAUUUGCAGG
rnacentral:rRNA from 1 species